CCGUCCACGAGUGCAGAGACGCACACGCAGUCGACCGCUCAUCUAUUCUCUCCACACGACCCUGAUCCUAAUCCCUAAGCUCUAGCGUGGCGGCGGUGGCUAGCCAGGUCGCCUGCAGCAGGCGGGGCAGCCAACGGCAAGGCAGCCAACGGCAGGGCAGCCAACAGCGGCUAUAGUCUGGGGGGCUAGAGGGCGCCGGCACAGCGGCAGCAAGCGGCAGCCCCAGCCGGGGCCUAGGCGCCUCACAGUAGAAACAGCAGUCCGGACGUCCGGGCGUCCGGCUACUUCUGAUUCCGGCGCAGUUCCGGCCAGAUUGCCCGAAGAUGGAAAGGAAGAGGGAGGAAAUAUGAAAUCCAAAGGAAAGGGGAUGAGAUUUGAAAAAAUAUUUUGAAAUGCUUGGCAGUAGCAGCAGCUCGAAAUCGAACCCAAAUACCCGUGAAAGUGUCAAUGUUUCGGCACCUGCCACUCAUCAAGAUCAAGUGAGUUCCAUGGAAAUAGAGCAUGAAAAAUCGAUGCAAACAGAACAAGUGGAAGAACAAAUUACAUAUUCUCUUGAAGCUAUAGUGGAAGAACAAACUACAGAUUCUAUUGAAGCUAUAGUUUUAGGCUGUUUUUCUAUUGAAACAUGUCUACAAUUUCAUUGUAUUUUGUUAUUUGUUUGUAGUGUGCAUUGUUAGUGUGUAUUGACCUCCUUUGAUUCCCAUAAAUAAAAAAUUUAGGGAGACUUCGCCCCA